GUGGGCUCUCUGUGAUAUCUGCGGCCAUGGUAGUCCAUUUUUCCUACUAACUUUGUUAAUGUCCUGAGAAAAACUAGAAAUUUGAAUAGGAUAUAAAGAAUAGGAUUUCCCAGAAGAAGAGACAUUUUUAUCCCAGUAAUCCACAAUAAAAUGGGGUGUAGAGAGAUGUAUCCAGAGCUGCACAGCUAGUGGACGUCUGAGCAGGAGCCACAUGCAGAAGAGUCUGACUCCAGGGCCUCAGCGUUGCUGUGUUUAGUCAUUCCUCCCAAUGCCAGUGAUCCCUUAAAUCUGGGUGUUGUCCAUCAUCAUCCCUGCCCGUCUCCGUGCAUCCACAACUGCCACAUCCUGAGAGCUCAGUCCAUCAUAAAUGCAAUUAUAGCCUUUUACCUCCUCCUCACCAGAUACUCUCUACAGGGCAAGUUCAUCAAACUGUGUGCUUAGAAGCUCUGGAGCAGAACUCUCACCCACCAGAAGAUUGCCUCAAGA